rnacentral:rRNA from 1 species
CAGUAGCCGCGGGAAUACAGAGGGUGCGAGCGUUAAUCGGAUUUACUGGGCGUAAAGCGUGCGUAGGCGGUUUGUUAAGUCUGCUGUGAAAUCCCCGGGCUUAACCUGGGAAUGGCAGUGGAUACUGGCAAGCUAGAGUGUGUCAGAGGAUGGUGGAAUUCCCGGUGUAGCGGUGAAAUGCGUAGAGAUCGGGAGGAACAUCAGUGGCGAAGGCGGCCAUCUGGGACAACACUGACGCUGAGGCACGAAAGCGUGGGGAGCAAACAGGAUUAGAUACCCCAGUAGUCCCUGUCUCUUAUAC